GUCUUUUUGAUUAUAAUUUAAAGUCUAACCUGCCCAAUGAGGAGUUAAAUGGCUGCGGUAAUUUGACCGUACAAAGGUAGCAUAAUCAUUAGUUUUUUAAUUGAAAGCUGGAAUGAAAGGUUGGACGAGAAAAUGACUGUCUCAAUUUAAUUUAAAUUAGAAUUUUAUUUUUAAGUAAAAAAGCUUAAAUAAUUUUAAAAGACGAGAAGACCCUAUAGAAUUUUAUAUAUUUUAAGAUAAAUGUUUUAAAGUUAAUUUUUAUUUUUAUUUAAAAAUGUAUUUUGUUGGGGUGAUAGAAAAAUUUAAUGAACUUUUUUUUUUUUAUAUCAUUAAUUUAUGAUUAAAUGAUCCAUUUUUUAUGAUUAGAAGAUUAAAUUACCUUAGGGAUAACAGCGUAAUUUUUCUUAAGAGUUCAUAUUUAAAGAANANAUUGCGACCUCGAUGUUGGAUUUAAAA
rnacentral:rRNA from 1 species